AAAACGGUUCCAUCUUUGGCUAGGCCUUUGGUAUUUCAAGGCGCUGCCGGUGGGGAGAGAUGCCGCGUGCCUGAGAGGCUCUGGGAGCCUAGUUUAUCUCCCGGGAGCUGACUUCAUUUCUAAACGUAUAGGGGUUUCUUAGAGGAGCUUCAGAAUACUAAUCAUCGCUAGUGAGGGCACUUGGACACUUUGCUUCACCUCAGCCAGCACCUCUUUUCCCAGCUGUAAAAUGAGAGCUAAUGCUGGCAGCUGUUGGGAUGUCCUCUUCCAGGAAUGGUGAUGAGUUUCCCUGGAUCCAGCCCUGGCUUGGCUGAGGUUUUUCUCACUGUAAGAAGAGGACAAUAGCCUAUGAUCUACAGUGCCCAUUCCAACUCAGAGAAUCUUUACAUCUGGAGAUCUAUAGCAGGGCUAUCCCUAGUGACAUGCGUGAAGAAGCUUGGAAAUGGUGCUGGGUAGGAGCUGAGUGUGCAGAAUGUGGAAAGGCAUUCUAAACCAAAGGAAGAACACGAGUAAAGAUGAUGAAGCAGGGAUAAGGCUAAAAUGAAAUUUGUGAUCUGAUCCACAUACAAGCACAGUGUAGUACAGCUGGAAUAUAGAGAAGAGCUUGAAGACUUAUGAGCAACUAUCCCGGUACUCUUGGAGGCUCUGCAACCACAGUUUGAGAAACUCCGCGUUCAAAGUUAAAAACUGUCACCUGAAUAGUUAAUAACAUCAAAGAUUGUGAAAGCAAGUAUAAAUAACACAGAGAUUAAAAUAAUGAGGCAGG
rnacentral:lncRNA from 10 species